rnacentral:rRNA from 1 species
GACGAACGCUGGCGGCGUGCCUAACACAUGCAAGUCGAGCGAAGUGAGUACUACGGUACGAACUUAGCGGCGGACGGGUGAGUAACGCGUGGGCAAUCUACCCUGUAGACUGGGAUAACACCUCGAAAGGGGUGCUAAUACCGGAUAAUGUCGAGAAGCGGCAUCGCUUUUCGAAGAAAGGAGAGAAUCCGCUAUAGGAGGAGUCCGCGUCCCAUUAGCUAGUUGGUGAGGGUAACGGCCCACCAAGGUGACGAUGGGUAGCCGGCCUGAGAGGGUGAACGGCCACACUGGAACUGAGACACGGUCCAGACUCCUACGGGAGGCAGCAGUGGGGAAUAUUGUGCAAUGGGGGAACCCCUGACACAGCAACGCCGCGUGAGCGAAGAAGGCCUUCGGGUUGUAAAGCUCAAUAGUAUGGGAAGAUAAUGACGGUACCAUACGAAAGCCCCGGCUAACUACGUGCCAGCCGCCGCGGUAACAC